rnacentral:rRNA from 1 species
AGGGAAUUUUGCGCAAUGGACGAAAGUCUGACGCAGCAACGCCGCGUGAGUGAUGAAGGUCUUCGGAUUGUAAAGCUCUGUUGAGUGGGAAGAAUGGUUUCUCGUCUAAUAUACGGGAGGCGUGACGGUACCACUCGAGGAAGCCCCGGCUAACUACGUGCCAGCAGCCGCGGUAAUACGUAGGGGGCAAGCGUUGUUCGGAAUUACUGGGCGUAAAGGGAGCGUAGGCGGAAAGGUAAGUUAGGAGUGAAAUCCGCGGGCAUAACCCGCGGGUUGCUUUUAAUACUGCCAUUCUUGAGUAUGGAAGAGGGAGAUGGAAUUCCAGGUGUAGCGGUGGAAUGCGUAGAUAUCUGGAAGAACACCAGUAGCGAAGGCGGUCUCCUGGUCCAAUACUGACGCUGAGGCUCGAAAGCUAGGGGAGCAAAC